GCACGGGGGCUCUGUAUGGGUCCCCAGUACCCAAGAAUCUAGUGGGAAUGCCCUCUUCCCAACCCACUGGGCUCUCCUUCCAGAGACAGGUCGCCACACAUCCUCCCUUGCUGCCUGCAGGCAGAUUACACUUUGUACUUGGGGGUGGGAGGAUGGUGGUGCAUUUUGCUCAGGAAGGAAAAGCCAUACGCGCAUUUUACACUGGGAUUAGGGUGGUGGUGUGAGCUCCAAAGCCCUGGCAGGCUGACUCCAACGCCAUCUCCUUCAUUAAAAGCAAACAUUGCCACCCUCCCCAUCCUCCCCUCUCUUCUGCCAAGCCCUUCCCUCGGUGGAAAAGACGUGUGAAAAACGUGCCCCGAUUCCCCGCGGGGAGCCUGGCCGCCCCCUCCCUCACUCCCUCCUUCCCUCUGCCUGUCUGCACUGCGCCAGCCAGCCUUCGACAACAGCAUCACACGGGCUGCAGCAGAAGCAAGCCAUUUCCCCAGACCAAGGAGACGAGGCAAGCCCUGCCUUUAGGAAUAAUGCAUCCAACAAGACUUCUGCUUUAUGGAGAUCACUUUGGCAGCUGAAUAGAGGAUGGCCUGAAGUAGGGGGGAUGAAGCAGGAAAACCAAAUUAGAAGACUGUUGCAAUAGGUCAGACAAAAAAAAGCAAAGGCCUAUACUGUUGGUGACAGCUGUGAGUAGAAGAAAGAGAAUGUAUAGGAGAUAUACUACGAAGCAGCAACUCAUUAUUGCCCUGAUGAGUCAGUGGUCUGAUUGUACAGGUAGCUGACUCAGAGAUGACUCCCACAUCAAUAACAAGUCUUUUCCUGUUCAUUAAAAUCUAAUGUGUUUCAUUCUUGAUGGUGCUUAGUGCUCACUGUGUUCAGUACUAACUAGUUUUUUGGUUCAGUGUUCAUGAUAUAGAAGUGGGGCUUCUGUGAAAUCCAAAGAUCUUUGGUCCAUAAAUCUCAUUCCUUCUUCUUGAACCUUGCUUUCUCCUCUACAGCUAUUCCCAGCCUCAGGACCCAAUGUCACCAAUGAGGUAUAGGAGUUGGAA